rnacentral:rRNA from 1 species
CAAUAGCGUAUAUUUAAGUUGUUGCAGUUAAAAAGCUCGUAGUUGGAUUUCGGGUAGGAUUUGCCGGUCCGUCUUUGAGAUGUGUACUGGUAAGUCCUAUCUUCUUGUCGGGGACCAGCUCCUGGGCUUCACUGUCCGGGACUGGGAGCCGACGAAGUUACUUUGAGUAAAUUAGAGUGUUCAAAGCAAGCCUACGCUCUGAAUAUAUUAGCAUGGAAUAAUACGAUAGGACUCUGGCUUAUCUUGUUGGUCUGUGAGACCAGAGUAAUGAUUAAGAGGGACAGUCGGGGACAUUCGUAUUUCAUUGUCAGAGGUGAAAUUCUUGGAUUUAUGAAAGACGAACUUCUGCGAAAGCAUUUGUCAAGGAUGUUUUCAUUAA